AUGCCGCUCUGGGGCGGAGCGCAGCAAGAGGCGCAGCGCCGGAGCGCACAAGACGCAGCCAGGCAGCCAGCCAGGCAGGGCGCUCGCCCCGUCCAUCUCCGCGUGCCAACCCCCCCUGGCCGCGCUGCUCUCCCGUCGGCAGGCUCAGCAGGCAGCUGUUCGCCGCCGGAGGAGGAGCGGGAUCCGCGGCGUCGAGCCCGGGGCGCGCCGCUUGGCUCCCUGCCGGAUCCAUUUGCCUUCUCUCCGGAUAUGAAGAAGAGUAACGCACCCGCUGAAGGCGGCUCCCGGGAAGGUCCCUCCGUCGAGGGGCACGAGGAGGAUGGCCGGGUGGCGGCGGCGGCGACUUCCCGGCCCUUUUCCCCGCCCGUCGGGGCGCUUCCCGGAGGAGCGUCACUCCGGAGCGGCGCAUCCGCCCCAGGACCCAGCAGGCGGCGCUUCCAAACUCCCGGGAGCCUCCUCCUCCUCCUCCCGGUGCCGCCGGUUGCGAAAUCCCGAAUCCACCCCCGACGGCCUCCAGGGCGGGACGAGAGGCCUUUCCGUUCCCGGUCCCCUUUCCGUCCGCUCGGACGGGCGCAAAGGCUCCCCGGCCCGGAGAGGUUGGGACGGAGCUGGAGGGGACAGCCCGGCACACCCCACCCGCGAAGGGAGGGACGAAGAGAAAGUGACCGCACCGUCCGGCUACGAAAGUGCCGGUGUUGCUGCCCCGAGGAGAUCCCAGUAGAAGGACGGCGCAGGAGAGCCAACGCGCCUGAAGGGCUUCUAAAGCGCACGCAGGGGGGGGGGACCCUGAGCCGGAAGAAAAGCUCACCCCCCCACCCGGUUGCAUGUGCCUUGGGUGGACUAGGACAUGCAAGCAGAGCCCUACACGCCCUGGGGUUACACAGAGGAGGGCAAUGCGGGCAUCACUGGGCGAGGGGAGGGAUGCCACAAGUCAAGAGAAAAGGAAACUGCCCAGAUACCCAGUUUAGGGCGCUGGCCUAUUACGGUAAGUGCCGUCUAGUCUAG
rnacentral:lncRNA from 1 species